UACGUAGGGUGCAAGCGUUGUCCGGAAUUAUUGGGCGUAAAGAGCUCGUAGGUGGCCUGUCGCGUCGGCUGUGAAAACUCGGGGCUCAACUCCGAGCUUGCAGUCGAUACGGGCAGGCUAGAGUUCGGCAGGGGAGACUGGAAUUCCUGGUGUAGCCGUGAAAUGCGCAGAUAUCAGGAGGAACACCGGUGGCGAAGGCGGGUCUCUGGGCCGAUACUGACACUGAGGAGCGAAAGCGUGGGGAGCGAACAGG
rnacentral:rRNA from 1 species